UGUGGCUCUUUGGGGCUAUAGCAGAAGUGUUCACAUUGUGGCCCCUGUUAGAUUCUCUGAAUCUGAGAAUCCAGCU
rnacentral:ribozyme from 1 species